rnacentral:rRNA from 1 species
UGCUGCAUGGCUGUCGUCAGCUCGUGUCGUGAGAUGUGGUUAGUCCGCAACGAGCGCAACCCUUGUCAUUAGUUGCUACGAAAGGGCAACUCUAAUGAGACUGCCGGUGACAAACCGGAGGAAGGUGGGGAUGACGUCAAGUCCUCAUGGCCCUUAUAGGUGGGGCUACACACGUCAUACAAUGGGACAUACAAAGGGCAGCGAAGCCGCGAGGUGAAGCGAAUCCCAGAAAGUGUCUCUCAGUUCGGAUUGCAGGCUGCAACUCGCCUGCAUGAAGUCGGAAUCGCUAGUAAUCGCAGGUCAGCAUACUGCGGUGAAUACGUUCCCGGGCCUU